AUUGGCAGGAGUCUCUCCUGCUGCUUGCUCCAACUUUUCUCUCUUGCUUGGUUGUGACUAAUCAUGGUGGCAAAUAAGAAGUUCAGAGCCAUGAGACCGCUCACUAUAGAGGAAGCACCAUCACAACCUUCCACGGGUGAUUUGGGACUGAGAAGUUCUAAGAGGCAAGAGGUGUGUAUGUAACUGUGUUCUACUCCUUGCUUUUCCAUUUUGCUUUCUUUCCCAAACCCCUUUUAUCUUCCAGGGUUCCAGACUUCUAUUGUCUUUUCCUGGACCACCCACCAAGAGCUCCACACAGGAAGGAAGCAGUCUAGGAGGAAAAUUAGAGUGGGAGAGGUGAUAGUUGGAGAAGGAUUCUGCCACUUCUUUGUUCCAAAUCACCCCCUUUCUGGGUCUGCUUAGCAUGUAAUGGAGGAAUCAGAAGGGUACUCAAAACACUGGAGGCAGCUAAGAUCUGAGAGGCAGCCUUGUGUCAUCAUCUGGAUCUUCUGCAGCACCACAGACAUCAUGAGGCAACCCUCAUCACAGUGUUCAUGCAUGUGUAGAACAAAGCUGAGAUAGCAAAAAUGAGGACUC